GUCGCUUCUUGGAAAUAAAAUCAAAGAAAAAAAAGCCAUUCGGUAGUUGAAAUAGAAUAAGGUAGAUUUUUCAAUUCGAGAUUCUUAAUCCGCGAUUUAAAUAUUGUUAGUAUACUUUUAUAUAUUUAUACAUACAUGUACGAGUAAUACUAAUAUAAUGACGUAUUACUAAAAUCUCGGAUUGACAAACUAGCUUUAAGUAAGCGGGGUUAUUUCUAUAAACCGAGUUAUUGAUAUUAUAUUUGAAGUCUGCUGUUUGUGUAUACUCAUGCCGAGAAACGAAAAUAUCAUACAUAAUAAAAUGUAUAAUAAGAAGAGAUAUAACCAUAAGGCUACAAGGUUAUUUUGUUCACCAUAAAAUAUAACCGACGAAAUUAGAUUAUAAUGCUAAAUGGAUACUGAGUCAGUUAAUAAAAUUAUGAUGAAUGUAUUAAUCUUGUGGCUUGCAAUACUGCUCAAGUUGUUCAUAACUGCACCACCGAUGACAGCAUUCUUCCACAAUACCCGGUCCAGUUGGUGCUUUGCUAUUAUCAUCUCCAUUGUUUGAAAAUGGUUCAUUAAAUCCUCGAGUACUACAAACAAGAUAAAGAGCGUCACUCAAACUUUUUGAGCACAAUCUAAUGGUCUUCUGGUGUGGUCGCGAUUCAACCGGGGUCAUUAAAAACAAUAAGAGACCAAGAAGAAUCACGAUAAUUAUUCUCAAUAAAUAUAUAUAUUUUGUUGUAUACAUUGUUUUAAAUUUAUAAUUAUUCCUUUAUUAAUAUUAUUAUUAUACAGUACAAACCACAAAAUUAAAUUUUUAAUAAGUUCACUUAAUUUAUAAAUUUGUUAUAAUGUUUUUCACUUUAUUUAAAAACUCAAACUGCACUGUUUAUUAAUAAUAGAUUCAUUUUACUG